GCUGGGCAUGUUGGCAUGCACCUGUAAUCCCAGCUACUCUGGAGGCUGAGGCAGGAGAAUUGCUUGAACCUGGGAGGCAGAGUUGUAGUCAGCCGAGAUCGUGCUAUUGCACUCCAGCCUGGGACAGAGUGAGACUCCAUCUCAAAAAAAUAAAUAAAUAAAUAAAUAAAAGAAAAGAAAAUAAAUUAUUACAAAUCUGGUAUAUAAUCAUUGGAAAACAUUUAUUUAUUUUUGUUUUUGUUUGAGAUGGAGUCUCACUCUGCUACCCAGGCUGGAGUGCAAUAGCACGAUCUCGGCUGACUACAACUCUGCCUCCCAGGUUCAAGCAAUUCUCCUGCCUCAG
rnacentral:SRP_RNA from 1 species